AGCUGGGCUUGGAGGAAGCUUGGCAUUCACUGUUGAAUAACCACCUGGCGAUUUUCAAAGAAUCUGCACCUUUUUGAAUGGUGCUGAAAAAUUCCUUCAUGCUUGUCUUGACAAACAGCUCAAGAUAGAAAAGGAGACACAGAACAGCCAGAAAUUCCAUGGAGUUGGACUAAAAGAAACUUUUGGGAUGUCUCUAUUUGGAUUAAAAUUUGGAAAGAAGAAAUUGAAAGAGGAAGAGAGACAACUUCAAGCAAACAACCGGGACUUCAAUCUACAAUUUCAAUAUGCUGUAAGUUACCAGUGUGCAUUGUUU